rnacentral:rRNA from 1 species
AAUUUAGGACAAUGGGGGAAACCCUGAUCCAGCCAUCCCGCGUGUAGGAUGAAGGCCUUCUGGUUGUAAAGUACUUUUGGCAGAGAAGAAAAGGUACCUCCUAAUACGAGGUACUGCUGACGGUAUAUGCAGAAUAAGCACCGGCUAACUACGUGCCGGCAGCCGCGGUAAUACGUAGGGUGCAAGCGUUAAUCGGAAUUAGUGUGCGUAAAGCGUAUGUGGGCGGUUCGGAAAGAAAGAUGUGAAAACCCAGGGCUCAACCUUGGAACUGCAUUUUUAACUGCCGAGCUAGAGUAUGUCAGAGGGGGGUAGAAUUCCACGUGUAGCAGUGAAAUGCGUAGGUAUGUGGAGGAAUACCGAUGGCGAAGGCAGCCCCCUGGGAUAAUACUGACGCUCAGACACGAAAGCGCAGGGAGCAAACA